CAGAAAUAAACAUGUUUACAGCCUGGUACCAGAACAUGUUUUUUGUCUAAAUUAUCUAGUUUAUACUCAUGACAACUCUGAGGGGGGUGAAUUUUUUUCUCACUCUUCUGUUUAAGUGUAUUGAAAGCCUAAAAUUCUGUAUAAUUAAUGAGCAUCCGACCCACGUGACCGCCGCCUCAGACCCACGUGACCACAUAGCUAGCUCCGUGGAAAGGCCUCAGUACAGCCUCGGUCUCUCCUGGAAACUGUGUCGGGAUUUUGAGUCUCUGUGCUUGUGAAUUCUGUUUUGGAUAAUAUUGGGGCAAUUGUUGGACAAAAUGACUUGCUGUGGUAUUAAUUGCACUAAUAGAGCGUCCAAGGAGUCUCCACUUCAUUUUUUUCGGGAAGGACCUGAUUGGUGUCCUGAACCUGCUGAAGAAGCACCAGGCUCUGCAGGCUGAGAUCACAGGUCAUGAACUUCGCAUCAAGGCUGUCACCCAGAAAGGAGAGACCAUAGUGGAGGAAGGUAGAGCAGGUCUGGUCCUGACAUGUUUCUGAGGUGUCUGCAGGUUCUGGCUCACUUUGUUUGGGUCCAGGUCACUUCGCUGGUGAGGAAGUGAAGACUAAACUGUGGGAGCUUCAUGGACGUUGGGACAAGCGAACAUCUCCACACCUGCUUUGUGUUUGUGUGACUUUAGGUUGUUUUACUUGAACUCGCGUCUUUAGCUGAAUGAGGAUGGAGAGGCGGGUCGGACCUGGAGCAGGUCGAGGUCUUGCAGAAGAAGUUUGACGACUUCCAGAAGGACCUGAAGGCCAACGAGUCCCGCCUGAGGGACAUCAACAAGGUGGCAUCUGAACUGGAGUCAGAAGGUCUGAUGGCUGAGGAGGCUCCUAUGGUUCAGGCUCAGCAACAAGAACAUCUGGGUUCUGCUCCUGGAAAGGAUGAAGCCGACUCUAACCCCGGCUUUCCACAGGAGCCUUCAGCAGCGCGUUACUGCAGCAGCACGUCAUAGCUGCUGAUAGGAACCGCUGUGGUCAACAGAACCUUUUCCACUGGAGCCGUCGGCAGCGCGAGUCGGCCGCGUCUCAGGAGCAGCAUGUCGCGGCCUUUACGCGCCGGUUCUAUUUUCUACACGCGACGCCUCUGAAACGGGUCAAGUUCGACAUUUUUGGGGAAGGAAAGACAGGAAAUCGGACACGGAAAUUGAGAGAAGCUACCGAGAUUUUCAGAAUAAAGAACGUACUGCUUUCCAGUUGCUUUACUUUUAAAAAAGGUUACUAACUGCGGCCCCGUGAGAAGUUAUCACCUAGCUAGCGGUCUUCUUUGUUUUUCAGGUCCGUAUUGGCGAUUAUAAAACGGACAGAACAUAAAACACAAACCAUGUUGUAAUUUUCUCCUGCUUGUUGUUGUGUUUACUGACGAAGUCACUCGUGUGACUUCGUGCUCGGUCGGUGACAGCUGCUCCCCUGCUGCUUCGCGUCUCGUGGGAAGGGCCAAGCAGCAGCUUACGCGAGCAAGACGUGCUGCUGCAGUAACGUGCUGCUGACGGCUCCCGUGGAAACCCGGGGUAACACGGCGUCACCCUAGAAGGUGAGUUCAUUCAGCUGAUCAGAGGUCACCUCUGAUGGCCGCAGUCACGGCCGACCGUGCUGACAUCACACAGGAAUUCAGGUGACCCGGCAGGCACCAAGUGCUGGUGAAAGUGGGGACAUGUCAGCUGGUUGCCAUGGCUACAGUUAUCUUUAUGCAUCUGUAUGACUGCUGACUGGUGUGUGUUUCCUGUGACCUUUGACCUCAGACCGUAUGGUUGGGCGUUCAGACGACGGCUAACUUUAAUUCCAUCAAGGUAAGAGGAAGCUCUUCCCUUCCUGUCUGAGCGAUCCGUCUCCAGGUUUCCUUGUCCGGCGUCCAGCCCGCUGGCGUCCACCUUCAUCUCACUGGGUUUGGUUUCUCUCCAGGAGCUGAACAACUGCUGGCGCUUGCUGCAACAGCUGGCUGAAGACCGGAGCAACAUGCUGGGCAGCGCCCAUGAUGUGCAGCGCUUCCACAGAGACGCUGAUGAGACCAAAGAGUGGAUCGAGGAGAAGAACCAGGCCCUGAACACAGACAACUACGGCCACGACCUGGCCAGCGUUCAGUCUCUGCAGCGUGAACAUGAAGGCUUUGAGCAUGGUUCUGGUGACUCCACCCCAGCCGUUCCUGAUCAGCAAUCAGCGGGGUGUUUUCCUAUUUAAGGUGGAUGGAUGACACAAUUUGACGCCAGAAGAUUGCCUCAGUUUUGGAUUCCUGUCGACCUCAUUGGAUACUGACCUCUACUCCAGGAUUUGGAUAUUCAACACACGGACCUUAUCACCACCCUCCAUAACCCACCUCUCAUCUCACCCAGUGCCCCAUCCACCAGGACGCCCUGCUUCUCUCCACCUCUGCUCCCUCUCCUGCGCUUCCCCCGGCUCUCUACCUCUCCCUCCUCCAGCCAACACAUACACCCACCACAACGCUGAGCUGUUGUUGCAGUUCCAACCACAGACUUAUCUGUGCACCUUAAGUUCCUCCUUAUAAAUAAAUCAUUUUUUCCAUCAGUUUUUGGUCAGUGUUGUAUUCUGCAUGUCUUGGGUUAAGUACCUUCCUCCAAACAUGACACUCCUCUUCAAAGAGCAAAUCUGUUCAGCACAUUCUGACAGACAGACCACCAUUCUUCUGUCAUGAUGCUGUACAGGACAUUUUUAGAGUUAUUCUUUUUAAAGAUAAAUAGGAUUACGUUUAAAGA